rnacentral:lncRNA from 10 species
CAUCACAGGCUGGUCUCAAACUCCUGGACUCAAGUGAUCCUCCUGCCUCAGCUUCCCAAGUAGGUGGGAUUACAAGCACGUGUCACUGUGCCCAGCUUAAUAUAAUAUUUUGAAAAUAUCUCCUUAAAAACCCCAAAGAGCUGAUGGGUUAAUAAAGAACCACCUGGCAAAAAUCUAAGGGAGAAGCAGAAACCAAAGAAGUACAGCCAAGCCUAAAGCACUGACGCCAUUGUGCUGAGAGUUUCACCAUCCUGGACAAAUAUGAGCUUCUCUUUUGGUCUCACAGGAGGUCACAUGCCAAGGUACAUCAUGCCUACAAACCAG